CCUACGGGAGGCAGCAGUGGGGAAUAUUGCACAAUGGGGGAAACCCUGAUGCAGCGACGCCGCGUGAGUGAAGAAGUAUUUCUGUAUGUAAAGCUCUAUUAGCAGGGAAGAAAAUCACGGUACCUGUUUAAGAAGCCCCAGCUCACUACGUGUCAGCAGCCGCGGUAAUACGUCGGGGGCACGCGUUAACCGGAUUUACUGGGUGUAAAGGGAGCGUAGACGGCAGCACAAGUCUGGAGUGAAAUGCCGGGGCUUAACCCCGGAACUGCGUUGGAAAAUGUUGAGCUAGAGUGCAGGAGAGGUAAGUGGAAUGCGUGGUGUAGCGGUGAAAUGCGUAGAUAUUAGGAGGAACACCAAUGGCGAAGGCGGCAUACUGGACCGUAACUGACGUUGAGGCUCGAAAGCGUGGGGAGCAAACAGGAUUAGAUACCCCUGUAGUC
rnacentral:rRNA from 1 species